rnacentral:rRNA from 1 species
UUGAGCGGAGAUAUAUGGAGCUUGCUUUAUAUAACUUAGCAGCGAACGGGUGAGUAACACGUAGAUAAUCUAUCCUAUACUGGGGGAUAGCCCGAUGAAAGUUGGAUUAAUACCGCAUAUAGCUAUAUAGUUGCAUGAUUAUGUAGUGAAAGAUUUAUUGGUAUAGGAGGAGUCUGCGGCACAUUAGCUAGUAGGUGAGGUAAAGGCUUACCUAGGCGACGAUGUGUAGCCGGUCUGAGAGGAUGAACGGCCACAAUGGAACUGAGACACGGUCCAUACUCCUACGGGAGGCAGCAGUGGGGAAUAUUGCACAAUGGGGGAAACCCUGAUGCAGCAACGCCGCGUGAGUGAAGAAGGUUUUCGGAUUGUAAAGCUCUGUCAGCAGGGAAGAGGAAGGACGGUACCUGCAGAGGAAGCCACGGCUAACUACGUGCCAGCAGCCGCGGUAAUACGUAGGUGGCAAGCGUUGUUCGGAAUAACUGGGCGUAAAGGAUGCGUAGGCGGUUAAACAAGUUAUAUGUUAAAUAUAUAGGCUUAACCUGUAGAAAGCAUAUAAAACUGUUUAACUAGAGUGCAGGAGAGGUAAGUGGAAUUCCUAGUGUAGCGGUGAAAUGCGUAGAGAUUAGGAAGAACACCAGUGGCGAAGGCGACUUACUGGACUGUAACUGACGCUGAGGCAUGAGAGCAUGGGGAGCAAACAGGAUUAGAUACCCUGGUAGUCCAUGCU